CGAGGGCUUCGGCCCUAGUGGCGCACGGGUGAGUAACACGUGGGAACCUGCCUUUCGGUUCGGGAUAACGUCUGGAAACGGACGCUAACACCGGAUACGUCCUUCGGGAGAAAGUUUACGCCGAGAGAGGGGCCCGCGUCCGAUUAGGUAGUUGGUGGGGUAAUGGCCCACCAAGCCGACGAUCGGUAGCUGGUCUGAGAGGAUGAUCAGCCACACUGGGACUGAGACACGGCCCAGACUCCUACGGGAGGCAGCAGUGGGGAAUAUUGGACAAUGGGGGCAACCCUGAUCCAGCAAUGCCGCGUGAGUGAUGAAGGCCUUAGGGUUGUAAAGCUCUUUCGCACGCGACGAUGAUGACGGUAGCGUGAGAAGAAGCCCCGGCUAACUUCGUGCCAGCAGCCGCGGUAAUACGAAGGGGGCGAGCGUUGUUCGGAAUUACUGGGCGUAAAGGGCGCGUAGGCGGCCCGAUCAGUCAGAUGUGAAAGCCCCGGGCUCAACCUGGGAACUGCAUUUGAUACUGUCGGGCUUGAGUUCCGGAGAGGAUGGUGGAAUUCCCAGUGUAGAGGUGAAAUUCGUAGAUAUUGGGAAGAACACCGGUGGCGAAGGCGGCCAUCUGGACGGACACUGACGCUGAGGCGCGAAAGCGUGGGGAGCAAACA
rnacentral:rRNA from 1 species